ensembl:lncRNA
AGUUAGUACAUUUGGGGUGGUGUAGACACAAGAAACGCUUGAUGGCAAUACAUGAAACACGCUAUUACAGCUAUUAUACUGCGUAUUGAUACAAGCUUAGAAAUAUUUAGUUAAGCGAGCAUCAGAAUUUACCUACAGGUUUUUUUGUAGUAAGUGCCAUAAAAACUAAUUACAACCUACUAUAAAGGUUGUGCACUGUUAAAAAACAUCAUUAGUGCUUAACUACAUCAGUAAUAUAGUGGGAAGUUGUGGCCUAAUGGAUAGAGAGUUUGAUUCCUAGCCCUAAGGUUGUGGGUUUGAGUCUCGGGCCGGCAAUCCCAGACUUGAGCAAGGCAAUGAACCCCCAACUGCUCCCCGGGCGCCGCAACAUAAAUGGCUGCCCACUGCUCCGGGUGUGUGUUCACUGCUGUAUGUGUGCACUUUGGAUGAGUUAAAUGCAGAGUACGAAUUCUGAGUAUGGGUCACCAAUCUUGGCAGUAUGUCACUUCACUUCACUAACACUUACAAUAAUGAAAGGAAAAAUUGAUAAUUAAUUAAAGGGGUCAUAUGAUGCGAUUUCAAAUUUUCCUUUCUCUUUGGAGUGUUACAAGCUCUUGGUGAAUAAAGAAGAUCUGUAAAGUUGCAAAGACUAAAGUCUCAAAUCCAAAGAGAUAUUCUUUAUAAAAGUUAACACUCCACGCCCCCCUGAAACGGCUGUGAAAGCGAAACUACUUUCUUUGGCCUUCCAGAAGAGGACGAUAUCCGCUUCGUCAUGCCUGGAGCUGAUCCAUGCUGGUUGCUGAGGAAAUACAUCAACUUUGCACUGUGGAUUGCUGAAUCGGCUUUCACCGUGGACGAAGUGGUGUCCAGCCUGGGGUCGUUACAUGUGGUUGCUGCAAGACCAAGAUGGGCGGUUCCUUGAGAAAAUUUGCUGGAGGCUGCGACUAGUUCUCCUCUUCACCUGAUCCAGAUAUAAGGACUGCCCCAAAUCUUUCAAUCGGGGUCAUGAUUGUGCCAUCGCGUAUGACUCUGUAGUUUGCCUUUGUGCCUUGCUGUCGUUGUUUGACUGAAACCCCACGGUACACUACUGUAAUAAGUCAUACAGGUUUGGAAUGACAUGAGAGUAAG